rnacentral:rRNA from 1 species
UACGGAGGGUGCAAGCGUUAAUCGGAAUUACUGGGCGUAAAGCGCGCGUAGGCGGUUUACUAAGUCUAAGAUCAAAGCCCGAGGCUCAACCUGGGAACUGCAUCCGAUACUGGAUGACUAGAAUGCGGGAGAGGGAGGUAGAAUUCCAUGUGUAGCAGUGAAAUGCGUAGAUAUAUGGAGGAAUACCAGUGGCGAAGGCGGCCUCCUGGACAAAGACUGACGCUCAGAUGCGAAAGCGUGGGGAGCAAACAGG